CGCCGCAUCCUCAAACUCCGUUCCUCCGCGUAGCCGCCACCCGCCGGAAUCCUCCGUACCCAAGCCCUCGUCGCUGAUUUGGUGGCCGCCGGUGAUGGAGCUGGCUCUGCUCACCGUUUACUCUGGCGGUGAUCAUGGUUCUAUUCAGAGGACUUUGAUCCAACGGUCAUCCCCUAUACUGUGUAAUUUCUUGUACAGCUCGUUGAAAUAAUUGGCCGCUUUAUCUUAUCUCUGCUGUUCCUUGAGCCGAGGGUCAAUCUGAAGUAAGCGUUCAUCGGACUUGUUAUUGGAACAAAUUCAGGAGGGGAUGCUCGUACUACUUUGUGCAUUGACAGGGAGAGGGAAGCUCUUCUCAAGUUCAAGCAAGGUCUGAUAGACAACUACGGUAUCCUCUCGUCACCGGUUGAAUUCCGAACCGAGGAAAUUAUGACUCUGUUAACAGUCCGCGAACCAGAACUCCGAGUAAGGAAUUCUGUUAACCCGGGA